rnacentral:rRNA from 1 species
CCAAGGAGUUUAGCGUGUGCGCGAGUCAUUGGGUGGAAAACCUAAAGGCGCAAUGAAAGUGAAGGGGGCCUCUGGCCCCCGAGGGAAGAUGGGCGUCCGUCCUUCGCAGGCGGCGCCCCGCACUCCCGGGGCGUCUCUUUCUCGUUACGAGUGGAGGCGCACCUGUAGCGCACACGCUGAUACCCGAAAGAUGGUGAACUAUGCCUGGCCAGGACGAAGCCAGGGGAAACCCUGGUGGAGGUCCGCAGCGAUUCUGACGUGCAAAUCGAUCGUCGGAGCUGGGUAUAGGGGCGAAAGACCAAUCGAACCAUCUAGUAGCUGGUUCCCUCUGAAGUUUCCCUCAGGAUAGCUUGCGCUCGGUUGAGACGAGUCUCAUCCGGUAGAGCGAAUGAUUAGAGGCCUUGGGGUCGAAACGACCUCAACCUAUUCUCAAACUCCAAAUAGAUGAGAUCCCCGGCUUGCUUGAAAGUGAAGCCGCGGGAAUCGGAUCAGAGUGCAAAGUGGGCCAAUUUU